AACGUAGGAGGCGAGCGUUAUCCGGAUUUACUGGGUGUAAAGCGCGUGCAGGCGGUUGGCUAAGUUGGGUGUGAAAGCUCCUGGCUCAACUAGGAGAGGUCGCUCAAGACUGGUCGACUGGAGAAUGGUAGAGGAAGGUGGAAUUCCGGGAGUAGUGGUGAAAUGCGUAGAUAUCCGGAGGAACACCAGUGGCGAAAGCGGCCUUCUGGACCAUUUCUGACGCUCAGACGCGAAAGCUAGGGUAGCAAACGGG
rnacentral:rRNA from 1 species